ensembl:lncRNA
GAAAGCCCCGCUCCAUAGGCCAGACUGUCCCAUUUCGGUCCCUGAAAAAGGCCAUGCGCUUGAAUGCAGCCCACGAAUUGAGACACAGCAAAACGGGGAGAAAAAAAACACUGCAUGCCUUUAUUUUGAAAUCGACUACCGGAAGUAUCGUGUGUACUGGUUUUAAAGGACUUGACACAGUGAUAGGCAGUUCAGCGCUCCAUGUUGCGGCGCUGCGUGGCACUGUGCACCGACUGGGCAGUGGAUGCACACAAACGCACGUACGCGCGCGUACACACGCACACACACACUCGCACACUCACGCGCGCGCACGCAUGACUAGUUGUGAAUGGCCGACGAGGCUUGGCACGUUUCGUUUGCGUGGCGAGAAGUAGCCGUCGGUCCGGACGCCUCUACCUGCUGCAGACCGUGCCCGCGCCGCGCACACCCAUGGGUGUCGCUGAUGUGACCGCCUCCUGCGUCGGGACCGAACGGGGCCGCUUCGAUCGGCGCGGUAGUUAUUUUCAGAGCCGCUCGCUCCAGCUAUUCGGGACCGACUGGAAACGUGCGGGCCGGGCGCGCUGAGUCGGAUUGGGGAGCCGCACCGGAGCGCUGCAGCAAGACGCGGUACCGGAGCCCGAGCAGACGCGGUACCGCAGCCGCAGCGGACGAGGAAGAGGAGGAAGCGCGGAUGUGAUGCCAACAAUUGGCCCGAAAAAAAAAGGGUCAACUCGAGGAAAGCUCAAUGCUGAGUCCGGAGAGUGGGGGCAAUGCAGUCCCAUUAGCGACGCGAGGCCGAGGGGACAAAAGCAGCAGACGUACCAGUUAGGAAUCCAGCUUCAUCAGAGGAACGCCAGCAGCCGGAGCACAUUGACCAGUCCGAGGAUAUAGAUGUUUGUGAUAGUCCGUAACACCCGGGGAAAUGAGCUCCUCUUAUUUUUUUUUAAAUAUGGGAUGUACUGUCUCCGGGCACGUCCCUCGUCUUGCCGGGGACGCGGCCUUUGAUUAUGUAAUACUGAUGCGAAGGGAUGGCGCCUUCGUUCUCUCUUGUUAGUGAACGGACGCGGAGGUUUAAUCUCGGCCUCCUCGCCGCUCCGCUGUCGGAGGGACGAGGCGGUCAGCUGCUGUCGGGAGCUGGACGGGAACGUUUCCACCUUGGAAUAGAU